rnacentral:misc_RNA from 1 species
AGCUGCGGCACGCUGCGAUCUUUUGAUCUUGAUUGAUUUUUAAACACAAAAUCAAAAGAUCGCAGCGUGCCGCAGCU